AUGGGUUGGAUGUGGGGCUGGAGGAGCAAGAAUUCCUGAAAUAUCUACAUACACCCAUCACCUAUUUUUCUACCUUCAAUUGCAUUGUUUAGACAGAUGUA